UAUUCUCUCGUUAUAUAAUAUUAAAUAAGAUAAUUUAAAUACUAUAAAAAUCGUAAAUCUUUUUCUGAUAGAUCAAAGUGAACAAGUAACAUCCGAUUCAUAAAAUGCUUUUUCACGCUCGAACGAAUUCGAAGUCGAAUAAGGAGGUGCAAAUCGGAGAGAAGCUAGGAAAUCCAAACUGUGCCUCGUUAAGAGACAUUGUUGGGAGAAGAGAAUCACUAACCGAUUUCUCUCUCUCUCUCUCUCUCUCUCUCUCUCUCUCUCUCUCGCUCUCUCUUUAUCUUUGUCCGUCUGUUCGUCUAUCUCUCUUUUUCUCUUGGAAUACUUUCCAUGCACUUUUUUCUAAUCCCCGAACAAUAGGCCCGUCUCGUCGAGCUGAACUCGAAAUCGUGAGUGAAAAAGAAGACUCAAAUGUCAGGAUAGAUAGAUAGAUAGAUAGAUAGAUAGAUAGAUAGAUAGAUAGAUAGAUAGAAAGAUAGAUAGAUAGAUAGAAAGAAGAAAAAUGGGAAAGAUGAAAGCUGGAAAUCGCAUUUUCAGCAGGUUAAGCGUUUUAACGAGUCCUCGCAGUGUCGGUGAACUCGAACGAGUGCUCUGCAAAAAAAAAAGAGAAAGAAAAAAAGGAAAAAAAAAAGAAAAAGACAGAAAGAAAGAAAAAAAAAGACAAGAGCAGGACGCAUGAACGGAUAGAUAGGUAGAUAGAAAAAGAAAAAGAAAGAGAGAGAGACAGACAGAUAGAGAUAAAGCGAACUGAACAACGAAAUAACAUUUUCAGCAUAAUCUAGCGACCUAGCCGGCAGGAUCCAUUGUUCUCUGGAGGCCAGAAACGUUAGCAGAACAACAGCAACAGCAACAGCGACAGCGACAGCGACAGCGACAGCUAGAGCGGCAGCUACAACGGCAGCUACAGCGACAGCUACAGCGACAGCGACAUCGACAUCGACAUCGACAUCGACAUCGACAGCAAAAACACCAACGAGGUUAAUAGGCGCGACAUUGGAUAAGCAGCCAAUGAGGAGUCGAUGACGCGACUCGCUUGAGAAAAUCGUGUUGCUCGCCGAUUACCGACGAUGAUCGUGGACUAUUCAAAGAGGACUAUUAUCACAAUUACUGAAAGUACGUGACCCCGAGAGUAUCAUCGUCGAGUCGAUCUAAAGAGAUAAUAAUAACGAAUUUGAUAAAUCGAGUUUCUCUCUCUCUCUCUCUCUCUCUCUCUCUCUCUCUCUCUUUCUUUCUUUUUUUCUUUCUCCUUCUGUCUUUAUCUGUCUCUCUAACAGUUGCUAAUGUUCAUCCUUUUCGCGAUCAUACUGAACCACACAUCUCGACCUACCAUCCAUACUACCCCACCCCACCUCCCGUCUCUCACCUUCCACAAACACCUUUCCAUCAUUUCUGUAAAUAGAAUGAUCCCAUUGGUUGCGUUUGUAAAAGAUAAAAUGAAAUAAUGUCGUCGAGUAUCAAGACCUUCUCUCGACAUUUUUCUCUCGUGCGAUAUUAGAAAGUAGAAGAAAAGAAACCCGAAAAAAAGGAAAUAAAAAAUAGAAAAAAAAGAAAUAGAAGAAAGUGAGUAAGAAAGAAAGAGAGAAAGAGAAAAAGAGAAGGAACACGAUAGCGAACGACACGGGUUCGAGUCUAUACCCCCGAACGCGAAAAGUCAUUAGUCGUUUCUUUAUGUUCUCCCGGCGAUAAACUUAUCGUGCACGAAUAGCUUCGCGAGUAAAAGGAGAACUUUGAGUUGGAGAGGUUGUGAAUGAAGGAGAAAGACAGAGAAAGAGAGA